GUAACCUGGUUGAUCUUGCCAGUAGUCAUAUGCUUGUCUCAAAGAUUAAGCCAUGCAAGUGAAAGUAUAUACACAAUUAUUGUAGAAACUGCGAACGGCUCAUUAAAACAGUUAUAAUCUACUUGACAUUUUAUUAUAAGGAUAACUACGGAAAAGCUGUAGCUAAUACUUGUAAGUACAUUUACUCUAAGGAGUAAUUAGUACGUAUUUGUUAAGACCCCUAAGAAAAAAUGAUAUUAAAGGAAUUAUAACAAAGAAGCGACACAUAAUGUAAUAUUCAGUGUGUAUCAAUCGAGUUUCUGACCUAUCAGCUUUUGAUGUUAGGGUAUUGCCCUAACAUGGCUUUGACGGGUAACGGGGAAUUAGAGUUCGAUUCCGGAGAGGGAGCCUGAGAAAUAGCUACCACAUCUAAGGAAGGCAGCAGGCGCGUAAAUUACCCAAUUCUAAAUAAGAGAGGUAGUGACAAGAAAUAACAAUAUAAGGCCAAAUUUUGGUUUUAUAAUUGGAAUGAUGGGAACUUAAAACCUUCCCAAAAAUCAAUUGGAGGGCAAGUCUGGUGCCAGCAGCCGCGGUAAUUCCAGCUCCAAUAGCGUAUAUUAAAAUUGUUGCAGUUAAAACGCUCGUAGUUUAAUUUCAAGGGUAAUAUUAUUUUAAGUACUCACUUGGAAAGAAUGUGACUUCGGUCAUAGUUUGUAUCCUAGAUGGCGUUCUUUUAAUUACAGGCCCUUUGAGAACUCAUUAAUUUAUAACUGAGUUUCUCGUUACUUUGAGUAAAUUAGAGUGUUUAAAGCAUACAGAUAAAACGUAUUUUACUGUGUUUGAAUACUAUAGCAUGGAAUAACAACAUUGAAUAAGUCAAAAAUUUUUGAAAAAUUUUUCUUAUUUUGGCUUAGAUACAGUUAAUAGGAGUAGCUUGGGGGCAUUUGUAUUCAGAUGUCAGAGGUGAAAUUCUUAGAUUUUCUGGAGACAAACAACUGCGAAAGCAUUUGCCUAAAAUACUUCCAUUAAUCAAGAACGAAAGUUAAGGGAGUGAAGACGAUCAGAUACCGUCGUAAUCUUAACCAUAAACUAUGCCGACUAAGUGUUGGAUGAAAAUUUAUAAAUAAAGCUAUCUUCUUUAAAAGGAGUAGUUUUUUAGAUGCUUCCUUCAGUACCUUAUGAGAAAUCAAAGUCUUUGGGUUCUGGGGCGAGUAUUCGCGCAAGCGAGAAAGUUAAAAGAAUUGACGGAAGGGCACCACCAGGCGUGGAGCUUGCGGCUUAAUUUGACUCAACACGGGGAACCUCACUAGUUUAAGACAAGAGUAGGAUUGACAGAUUAAUAGCUCUUUCUUGAUUUCUUGGAUGGUGAUGCAUGGCCGUUUUUAGUUCGUGAAUAUGAUUUGUCUGGUUAAUUCCGAUAACGAACGAGAUCUUAACCUGCUAAUUAGCGGUAGUUACGUGAUAUUCUUCGAAGUGGAAUUACUAUAACGUUUCCAAAGUUAUGUUGCAUCAUAAUCAAAAUGGAUUUACCUUUUGUUUUAUUGUAGCAUAUUCGGUGGAUUUCGUUGGAUUCUUUCCCUAGUAAGGAUGUAUCUACUUUAUUUAAAGCUUCUUAGAGGAACGAUGUGUGUCUAACACAAGGAAGUUUAAGGCAACAACAGGUCUGUGAUGUCCUUAGAUAUACUAGGCUGCACGCGUGCUACACUGAUAUGUAAAACGAGUAUUUAAAAUUAUAUCUGUAUAAUAGAUAACUUAAUUUCUAUAUAUAUCAGCAUAUAUUUUUCCUACACUGAAAUAGUGAAGGUAAUCUUUAUCAAUACAUAUCGUGAUGGGGAUAGAUUAUUGCAAUUAUUAAUCUUGAACGAGGAAUGCCUAGUAAGCAUGAUUCAUCAGAUUGUGCUGACUACGUCCCUGCCCUUUGUACACACCGCCCGUCGCUCCUACCGAUUGAAAGAUAUGAUGAAUUGUUUGGACAAGAAAAUCGAAAUUUUAUUUUUAUUUUUUUGGAAGGACCGUAAAUCCUAUCUUUUAAAGGAAGGAGAAGUCGUAACAAGGUUUCCGUAGGUGAACCUGCGGAAGGAUCAUUUUUA
rnacentral:rRNA from 1 species